GGUUGCAGGGUGAUUGGCUCCGGUAGUCUGUCAACCACAUCCCCUCGGCAUAUUUUCAACGAUAUCGAAGGGAUCUGAUAAUUCUAAUGCCGAUUGGUACAUCUCAUUCCAAACUGAUGAACUGUACACUGUAAAAUGUGCUCCAAAACUACAUAUCUUAGACUGAGUAUUACAAAUUCAAAAGUAAAAAUUUGUAAAAGAUACAAGUAACCUUCCAAUUUUGUCAUAAUCUCAAAAAAAAUAUUUAUUUUGAAACCAAAUGUCGUUAUUUAAUGAUAUUUCAUCAAUUAAAAAAAGUGACAACAUAGGUGUUUCCUUUAACAUUCAAAUUAUAAAUUUUUAUUUUGCCAUUUCUUUUUUUGCAUGCCGAAUCAAUGUGCACACAACUUCGGAGCUACGAUCUUUUUCUGAAUGAACAUCAUCAUCAACACUUGUAACUAGGUUGUCAAACUAAUAUCCGGGAUAGACGGAAAAGACACCAACAGUCUCUGAUUCCGAUUGACCAACUCAUCUCUCUCUCUUCUGCUUUUUUUUUUUUUUUUUUUUUUUUUUUUGUGAAAACGACGUGGAUGCACGUGCUGUCGUGCCUCCGGGUAGCUACGCCCCUGUGCACAUAGAUC
rnacentral:lncRNA from 1 species